rnacentral:rRNA from 1 species
AGCGAACGCUGGCGGCAGGCCUAACACAUGCAAGUCGAACGAACCUUUCGGGGUUAGUGGCGGACGGGUGAGUAACACGUGGGAACGUGCCUUUAGGUUCGGAAUAACUCAGGGAAACUUGUGCUAAUACCGAAUGUGCCCUUCGGGGGAAAGAUUUAUCGCCUUUAGAGCGGCCCGGGUCUGAUUAGCUAGUUGGUUGGGGUAAUGGCUCACCAAGGCGACGUUCAGUAGCUGGUCGGUGCGGAUGAUCAGCCACAUUGGGACUGAGACACGGCCCAAACUCCUACGGGAGGCAGCAGUGGGGAAUCUUGCGCAAUGGGCGAAAGCCUGACGCAGCCAUGCCGCGUGAAUGAUGAAGGUCUUAGGAUUGUAAAAUUCUUUCACCGGGGACGAUAAUGACGGUACCCGGAGAAGAAGCCCCGGCUAACUUCGUG